UACGUAGGGUGCAAGCGUUAUCCGGAAUUAUUGGGCGUAAAGAGCUCGUAGGCGGUUUGUCGCGUCUGCUGUGAAAACCGGAGGCUCAACCUCCGGCCUGCAGUGGGUACGGGCAAACUAGAGUGCGGUAGGGGAGAUUGGAAUUCCUGGUGUAGCGGUGGAAUGCGCAGAUAUCAGGAGGAACACCGAUGGCGAAGGCAGAUCUCUGGGCCGCAACUGACGCUGAGGAGCGAAAGCGUGGGGAGCGAACAGG
rnacentral:rRNA from 1 species